ACUCCUGCGGGAGGCAGCAGUGGGGAAUUUUGGACAAUGGGCGAAAGCCUGAUCCAGCAAUGCCGCGUGAGUGAAGAAGGCCUUCGGGUUGUAAAGCUCUUUUGUCAGGGAAGAAACGGUGAAAGCUAAUAUCUUUUGCUAAUGACGGUACCUGACGAAUAAGCACCGGCUAACUACGUGCCAGCAGCCGCGGUAAUACGUAGGGUGCAAGCGUUAAUCGGAAUUACUGGGCGUAAAGCGUGCGCAGGCGGUUUUGUAAGUCUGAUGUGAAAUCCCCGGGCUCAACCUGGGAAUUGCAUUGGAGACUGCAAGGCUAGAAUCUGGCAGAGGGGGGUAGAAUUCCACGUGUAGCAGUGAAAUGCGUAGAUAUGUGGAGGAACACCGAUGGCGAAGGCAGCCCCCUGGGUCAAGAUUGACGCUCAUGCACGAAAGCGUGGGGAGCAAACAGGAUUAGAUACCCCAGUAGUCCC
rnacentral:rRNA from 1 species